AGGCGCAUCAACACAUGAUGUAGAUAUCAUGUCCAAAAGAAGAGCGAGACGUAAUCCCAAGGUUGAAGCCGAGUUUAUUUGAUCUGGAUGUGAUAAGUCUUGUUUUAAGGCCCAGUUGAUCAAUUAUUGGAAAGACACCAACUGUUGAUGUUCUAUCUCAACAUUCUCCAGAUUCAGAUGUGAGCGAUUAACCGACUUCAUCCCUUCAACAGACACCAACUGUUGAUUUUCCAUCUCAACAUUCUCCAGAUUCAUAUAUGAUUAAUAACCGACUUCAUCCCUCCAACAGG